rnacentral:rRNA from 1 species
CGGCGGACGGGUGAGUAACACGUGGAUAACCACCUAUAAGACUGGGAUAACUUCGGGAAACCGGAGCUAAUACCGGAUAAUAUAUUGAACCGCAUGGUUCAAUAGUGAAAGACGGUUUUGCUGUCACUUAUAGAUGGAUCCGCGCCGCAUUAGCUAGUUGGUAAGGUAACGGCUUACCAAGGCAACGAUGCGUAGCCGACCUGAGAGGGUGAUCGGCCACACUGGAACUGAGACACGGUCCAGACUCCUACGGGAGGCAGCAGGC